rnacentral:rRNA from 1 species
UUGGAGGGCAAGUCUGGUGCCAGCAGCCGCGGUAAUUCCAGCUCCAAUAGCGUAUGUUAAAGUUGUUGCAGUUAAAAAGCUCGUAGUUGAAUUUCGGGAUCAGAUUGUCGGUCGUGCCUCGGUACGCACUGGUAUUAUUGGUUCCUACCUUCUGAAGAACCGCGAUGUCAUUAAUUUGGUGUCGUGGGGAAUCAGGACUGUUACUUUGAAAAAAUUAGAGUGUUUAAAGCAGGCUUACGCUUGAAUACAUUAGCAUGGAAUAAUGAAAUAGGACGUUUGAUUCUAUUUUGUUGGUUUCUAGGAUUGACGUAAUGAUUAAUAGGGAUAGUUGGGGGCAUUAGUAUUCAAUUGUCAGAGGUGAAAUUCUUGGAUUUAUUGAAGACUAACUACUGCGAAAGCAUUUGCCAAGGAUGUUUUCAUUAAUCAAGAACGAAAGUUAGGGGAUCGAAGACGAUCAGAUACCGUCGUAGUCUUAACCAUAAACUAUACCGACUAGGUAUCAGACGAUGUUAAUUUUUUAAUGACUCGUUUGGCACCUUACGGGAAACCAAAGUGUUUGGGUUC